UCCAUUAGUCAUAAAUCACACCAUUUCCCUUCAUUUUAAGUUUAGAAUACCACUUGCUAAUUAAUCUUUUACUAUAAAAUAGAAAUUUGAGGAUUUAUUUAUCUAUUGUUGGAAGUUAUUAACCAAAUAUUUUAUAGAAUAGAACAUGAGGAGCUUCUUUUGCAAAAUUGGAGAUAGUGGUCCAUUACCUAGCAUCCACUUAGACUCAUUUUCUUCAUCUGGUACAAACAAAGAGCCGAAACGAGAGAGAGAGAGAGAGAGAGAGUUCCAAUCUUAGUUUCAACCCAACGUACUUUGAAUUUGUUGCUCCUCAUCCAGUGGCGGACGCAGGAAUUUAUUGUUAGUGGGGCACACUCAAACUUUUAA
rnacentral:lncRNA from 1 species